rnacentral:rRNA from 1 species
CCUACGGGGGGCAGCAGUGAGGAAUAUUGGUCAAUGGCCGGAAGGCUGAACCAGCCAUGCCGCGUGAAGGGCAGAGCCCUAGGGGCGGUAAACUUCUUUUGUGCGGGAGCAAUAAUGGUCACGUGUGGCCAGACGAGAGUACCGUACGAAUAAGCAGCGGCUAACUCCGGGCCAGCAGCCGCGGUAAUACGGGGGAUGCAAGCGUUAUCCGGAUUUCUGGGGUUUAAAGGGGGCGUAGGCUGUGAGGUAAGUCAGCGGUGAAAUGCCCCCGCUCAACGGGGUGAAGGGCCCUUGCUACUGCCUUGCUGGCUUGCGGAUGCCGUGGGCGGAAUGUGUGGUGUAGCGGU